rnacentral:rRNA from 1 species
CCGCGCGAAGGUAGCGUAAUCACUUGUUUUUUAAAUAAAGACUAGUAUGAACGGCCACACGAGGACUUAACUGUCUCCCUUGUCCAAUCAGUGAAACUGAUCUCCUCGUGCAGAAGCGAGGAUAUUACCAUAAGACGAGAAGACCCUAUGGAGCUUUAAACUAAAAUCAACUAUUUUUAACUUCUCUCCAAGGAAUUAACAGAUAAUCAAAUAUGCUUGAUAUAAGUUUUAGGUUGGGGCGACCAUGGAGAAAAAGAAAUCCUCCCUGAUGACUCACAAACCAAGAGCCACGGCUCUAAGUAUUAAGAUACUUAACUUCCAUUGACCCAUUUUAUGAUCAACGAACCAAGUUACCCUAGGGAUAACAGCGCAAUCCAUUUCAAGAGUCCCUAUCGACAAAUGGGUUU